rnacentral:rRNA from 1 species
AGAACGAACGCUGGCGGCAGGCCUAAUACAUGUGAGUCGAACGCACUCUUCGGAGUGAGUGGCAGACGGGUGAGUAACGCGUGGGAACCUUCCCAAUGGUACGGAAUAACUCCGGGAAACCGGUGCUAAUACCGUAUAAGCCCCUCGGGGGAAAGAUUUAUCGCCAUUGGAUGGGCCCGCGUCGGAUUAGCUAGUUGGUAAGGUAAUGGCUUACCAAGGCUACGAUCCGUAGCUGGUCUGAGAGGAUGAUCAGCCACACUGGGACUGAGACACGGCCAGACUCUACGGGAGCAGCAGUAGGGAAUCUUGGACAAUGGGCGAAAGCCUGAUCCAAGCCAUGCCGCGUGAGUGAAGAAGGCCUUAGGGUUGUAAAGCGUUCGUUUGGACGGGAACGUAGUAAUCGGAACGGGUACCCG